GAUCCUCCGCAGGUUC
rnacentral:rRNA from 1 species